UGAUUCUGCACUUGAGCUAAAGUCACACGGACAGAAAUCAGUCAGCAAGAGGAAAACCUUCCCUUCUGUUGGCCUGCGGGGGUUCAGAAGCUUUUAUUUUUUUCUCCCUCCUCUCCGCUAAGGAGGGCCAUGGCGGUGUGGCAGGCCGAGGGCUCGUCUCCCAUUUUGUCCUCUCCGCCGUCCUGUGACGCGACGCAGCACGGCCCGGCUCGGCGGAACUGUUGCGUCACAAAUGUCCGAAGAAGCAAAAACACUCAAGAUGUGGGGUGUGUGCCACUCACCCCGAUGAGCGCCAGCACAGACAGGAUGUAGUAGGAGGAGUCUCGAAACAAAGACCACCACGUCAGCUUCACC